rnacentral:rRNA from 1 species
UACGUAGGGUGCGAGCGUUGUCCGGAAUUACUGGGCGUAAAGGGCGCGUAGGCGGCGCGGUAAGUCACUUGUGAAAUCUCUGAGCUUAACUCAGAACGGCCAAGUGAUACUGCAGUGCUAGAGUGUGGAAGGGGCAAUCGGAAUUCUUGGUGUAGCGGUGAAAUGCGUAGAUAUCAAGAGGAACACCUGAGGUGAAGACGGGUUGCUGGGCCAACACUGACGCUGAGGCGCGAAAGCCAGGGGAGCAAACGGG